rnacentral:tRNA from 1 species
AAAUUUUUAUAAUCCCCCAAAUUAAAAUUUUGGGGGAUUUACCCAAAAUUUU